rnacentral:rRNA from 1 species
AUUGAACGCUGGCGGCAGGCUUAACACAUGCAAGUCGAGCGGAGAUGAGGUGCUUGCACCUUAUCUUAGCGGCGGACGGGUGAGUAAUGCUUAGGAAUCUGCCUAUUAGUGGGGGACAACAUUCCGAAAGGAAUGCUAAUACCGCAUACGCCCUACGGGGGAAAGCAGGGGAUCUUCGGACCUUGCGCUAAUAGAUGAGCCUAAGUCGGAUUAGCUAGUUGGGGGGGUAAAGGCCUACCAAGGCGACGAUCUGUAGCGGGUCUGAGAGGAUGAUCGGCCACACUGGGACUGAGACACGGCCCAGACUCCUACGGGAGGCAGCAGUGGGGAAUAUUGGACAAUGGGCGGAAGCCUGAUCCAGCCAUGCCGCGUGUGUGAAGAAGGCCUUUUGGUUGUAAAGCACUUUAAGCGAGGAGGAGGCUACCUGGAUUAAUACUCUAGGAUAGUGGACGUUACUCGCAGAAUAAGCACCGGCUAACUCUGUGCCAGCCGCCGCCGUAAAAC